AUACGGAGGGUGCAAGCGUUACUCGGAAUCACUGGGCGUAAAGCGCGCGCAGGCGGCUUGAUAAGUUGGAUGUGAAAGCCUACGGCUCAACCGUAGAACUGCAUCCAAAACUGUCAGGCUAGAGUGUGGGAGAGGAAGAUGGAAUUAGUUGUGUAGGGGUAAAAUCCGUAGAGAUAACUAGGAAUACCAAAAGCGAAGGCAAUCUUCUGGAACACUACUGACGCUGAGGCGCAAAGGCGUGGGGAGCAAACAGGAUUAGAAACCCCAGUAGUCC
rnacentral:rRNA from 1 species